rfam:Ricinus communis cultivar Hale ctg_1100012362467, whole genome shotgun sequence.
GGGUGUGAAUAUACCAGCACUAAUGCACCGGAUCCCAUCAGAACUCCUAAGUUAAACGUGCUUUGGUGAGAGUAGUACUAAGAUGGGUGACUUCUUGGGAAGUCCUCGUGUUGCACCCC